AGGAGAAGGAGAAGAAGAGGAGGAGAAGAAGGAGAAGGGAUAACAGACUCUGACUUUACAGGAUCCGGGGACGACGACCAAGGGAGCCUGGGUGAAAGUGUGGAACCUCGUCCUGGAGCUUUACUCCUCUGGAUGUUAUGGCUGAAAUGGUUGCCGGGCUCCUCUUCCUGAAUUUAAAAUGUGAGUGUGUGACUGGAUUGUGAGGCAACACGAGGACACGGUCUCUGGCUCUGAGGAGUGAAGUGAGUUGUCAGUCUGCUGCGGCUGGAUGAGUCAACACUGGAUUCGAACCUGUGUAGAUCUGAGGCAGCAUCGUUUCUUCUGCUCAACAACUUGACUCACACUUGAAAACAAAUAAAAACCAUGUCAGAGAUGAAA